rnacentral:rRNA from 1 species
GACGAACGCUGGCGGCGUGCUUAACACAUGCAAGUCGAGCGGUAAGGCCCUUCGGGGUACACGAGCGGCGAACGGGUGAGUAACACGUGAGCAACCUGCCCCUGACUCUGGGAUAAGCGGUGGAAACGCCGUCUAAUACCGGAUACGACCCACCACCUCAUGGUGGAGGGUGGAAAGUUUUAUCGGUCAGGGAUGGGCUCGCGGCCUAUCAGCUUGUUGGUGGGGUAACGGCCUACCAAGGCGAUUACGGGUAGCCGGCCUGAGAGGGCGACCGGCCACA